UUAUAAAUAGAGGAUAUAGAAUCAGAAUUGUUUAGGGUGGAAGAGACUUUUAAGAUUAUGAAGUCCAACCAUUAACCCAGAACUGCCAAGUCCAUCACCAAGCCAUGUCCCCAAGUGCCACAUCUGUACAUCUUUUAAACACCUCCAGGGAUGGUGACUCAGCCACUUCCCUGGGUAUCCUGUUCCAUGUAGAAAUUUUUCCCAAUCUCUGGUCUAAACCCUCCCUGUCACAGUUUGAGGCUAUUUCUUCACAUCCUCUUGCAUGUUAACUGGGAGAAGAGGCUGACCCCCACCAGGCUACAACCUCCUUUUAGGAACUUGUAGGGCGAUAAGGUCUUCUCUGAGCCCCCUUUUCUCCUACAGCUUCCCUGACAGGACUUGUGCUCCAGACCUUUCUGUGGUCAUAUUCCAGCUCCUCAAUGUCUUUCUUGUAGUGAAGCUGACCUCUAUGAUAAAAGGUGAUAUAUUUGAAAUUUUGAAAUAAAAAUUUUGAAUUAAAUUUUGAAAGUUAGGAAUCUUACUUGCAUCCUGAGGUAAUACAUUAAUUCAGGUUGGGGAGAGGAGAGAGGACUGCUGUGGAAACUGCUGGGUGCUUUUGGAGUUAGUGUGAGGCUGCUCAAGGUUUUCACAGGACAUGCCCAAGAACUGUCUGGAGGAAGUUUGUAGUAACUGAGUGUAUGACAGGAUUUAAACUAAGCAUAGCUUAGUUCAGGCUGAAUGUUUCUUGUGAAUCUGACAAUGUUUAGUAUGUUACAUAUAUUGUAUCAUAGAAGUAACAGUAACUGCUGAACACCAGGAGUUCACUAGAAAUAUCCUUGAAACAAUAAAUACAAUUGUGUCUCUCAAAUGAUGCUUGGAGUUACUGUUAACUGUCAGAGGAAAAUAACCCUUGAAAGAGCAGCUCAAUAAAGGAUUUCAGAAAAUCUUACAAAAAUCAGAAAUAAAUGGAAAAGGUGUUCAAAGAAACUCCAGUGCAAUAGAGUAAACAUUAUUAAUGUUUUUUUAUUUUCUUUGAAAUGAUGGAAACAAUGUUCAUUUAAGAAUUUGUUCAUUUUAUUUGAUUGGAAUUUGAAUGAAAGGGACUAUACUUCUGUGGUUGAGUAUGUGUGAUGAUUGUAUUGACAAUCAACUGCUGACAUAUAAUAAGACUUUGUUGUUGAAAAAAAUAUAUGUGUAUUUUCAGGACUUUUAAAAUUGGAAUGUAGUUAUUGCUUAUCAAUACCCAGUUGGUCAUUGCUUAUUAAAUAAUUUCUUGAGGGUUUCUUGCAAUGUUUGCAACCAACAUUGAAGAUGCUGAAUUUUUAGAAAGAACUAUUCCAGGCAAAAUAAAAAAGACUAUAGAUUUCAUGGGCUGCAGAACACCCUGAGGUGAAAUUACACAAUGAAUUUUUCAAGCCUAACUUCACAGAAGAAGAAUUAUAUAUUAAUAGUUUAUUUUGAACAAAGCUUGACACUUUUUCUUGAAUUGAACAAAUAAUAUUAAAUUACCUGUUGCAUUAAAUUAAUCUGGAUAUAACCUGGGGCACUGUGGCAUUUUCCUUUUGCAUUUUCUUUCUACUUAUAAUUUUAUAUACCCACACCCAGUCUGAAAUAACACACUUUCAGUUCUCUGUUUAAAUCAGUCAAUUUAAAUUGCCUCCCAGCAUGUUCCUGGGCCAGCACUGUUAACCCAAAUCAGCAACAAUCCCCUAAUUCCCAUAUUACUGUAACAGUGACCACUUAGAUAAAGAUUUUGAAGAAGUCAAAAGAGAUUUUCAUGCAGCACCAUUUCUGUACAAUUUCCCCUUCUCUCCAUUAUUUUAGUAUAUGCAGCUUGUUUCAAAAGCAUCUCAGUAGUUUGCCUUAGCUGUUGUAAUGGGCAGGUAGGUCACCAGGGAGGCUUCUAAAUGAUCAGAUCUUUAUUUUCUCAAAGCUUUUGCAGUCAAGGAACUGUAGAAGUAUGAGAAAAUUACUUCUUUGGAAGAAAAAGUUUUUCUGGAUCACUGUAAAGUAAAAGCAAAAGUGAGGGUGAGGUGUGGCUCAACAACAAGCAAAGGUAGAGAAACUGCAGGAGUCGUACCAAAAAAGUGAAGGAGGGAAAGAAAAAGCUCUUCUCCCUCAUUUGUUCUUCACACCAGUGCAUGCCCAUGUGCACCUCACAUUUCUGCAGUUAGAUGGAAUUGGAUGAUACAGUGGAAUUAAGCCCUUGGGAAUGAACCUGAGCUGCAGUAACACCUGGAAUAAAUGAUCAGAGGCUCAUGCUGAUAAUGAAUUUACUGAGGAGGGUACAUACCGUGUGGGAAACCAGGAGCUUCUUCAGGAGCUGAACCCGACCUGGAAGAGAUAAAAGACAAACACUGAUGAGGAAGGAAAAGUAUCUCAAGCAGAGUGUCCUAGGCAGCUUAACCACAUUUAGUCAAAGAGCCUGAUCCUGUUCACAAGGGGGAAAAUGCUGAUGAUUGAAGACACUUAUUCUGAACUCAGUGCUCUGGAGAGAUUUGAAGCCCCCAACACAAGAAGGAAGAAGGAAAGAAAGAAGUGUCAAUUAUAAAAGUAGGAGUGAAAAGAGGUGCAUAUGGAACCACAAGAAGAUAGUAUACUCCUAAUUUCAGGUUUUGUAAGGCAUUAAAUAUUCAAAGAAACCUUGGAAUGUCUCCAGAUGUUUCAUCACCAGUUUUCUUCUAUUCAUUCUGCUUACCAGUGGGUCAUCAGAACAUGGCACAGUAUCUUUUGCAUCAACUGCAAGGGGAGGAUGAGAAAGAGAUUAGUACACAUUUGUAUUGAUGUAUAUGAGCAAACAACAUACUGUGCUGGUUUUGCUUGUGUGAUGCCAAAUGUCCUAAACAUUACUGUUAUUGUUGCUCAAUAAAGUUUCUGAGAAUAUCAUGACUUGCCUAACAAAACUGAUGCCACUCCUAUUUCCCUGGGAUGCAUUUGACUUCUAUAUGAAUUUUAAAUCAACUGUCAAUGUAAUUUAUUCACUAAAUAGCUCAAAUAAAAAUAAUUUUAAAAAAUA